rnacentral:rRNA from 1 species
CCUACGGGAGGCAGCAGUGAGGAAUAUUGGUCAAUGGACGAGAGUCUGAACCAGCCAAGCAGCGUGAAGGAUGACGGCCCUAUGGGUUGUAAACCUCUUUUAUCAGGGAAUAAAACGAGGCACGUGUGCCUUUUUGCAUGUACUUUAUGAAUAAGCAUCGGCUAACUCCGUGCCAGCAGCCGCGGUAAUACGGAGGAUCCGAGCGUUAUCCGGAUUUAUUGGGUUUAAAGGGAGCGUAGAUGGGUUGUUAAGUCAGCUGUGAAAGUUUGGGGCUCAACCGUAAAAUUGCAAUUGAUACUGGCAGUCUUGAGUACAGGUGAGGUAGGCGGAAUUCGUGGUGUAGCGGUGAAAUGCUUAGAUAUCGCGAAGAACCCCGAUUGCGAAGGCAGCUUACCAGACUGUGACUGACAUUGAGGCACGAAAGUGUGGGGAUCGAACAGGAUUAGAUACCCGGGUAGUC